rnacentral:rRNA from 1 species
UACGGAGGGUGCAAGCGUUAUCCGGAUUUACUGGGUUUAAAGGGUGCGUAGGCGGGCCCUUAAGUCAGUGGUGAAAGCUCCGAGCUUAACUCGGAAACUGCCAUUGAUACUAUAGGUCUUGAAUUCGGUCGAGGUUGGCGGAAUGUGUCGUGUAGCGGUGAAAUGCUUAGAUAUGACACAGGACACCGAUUGCGAAGGCAGCUAGCUAGACCGACAUUGACGCUGAGGCACGAAAGCGUGGGGAUCAAACAGG